AGAUGUAAGUAGAAAUGUAAGUAAAGACGUAAGUAAAGACGUAAGUAAAGACGUAAGUAAGGACAUAAGUAAGGACGUAAUUAAAGACAUAAGUAAGGACGUAAGUAAAGAGGUAAGCUUAAUUAAUAGUGACAUAAAAAUAGUUAAUACUACGAAUAUAAUGAGUGAAGACAUAAACAAUGCGGAAGUAAUAAAAGGGGUUGGCGUAGUAAAUGGUGUAAUAAUAAGUUAUUUGUAUGAAAAUGAAAAAAAUGAAAAAUGUGAAGAGUAUAAUAGUUCACCAAUACGUGAAGCUAUUAUUGACAUUAACGAUGCUCACUUAUUAAAAAAGGACAACUUAAGUGAAAAUCCUAUUAUUUUAGAUUGUAAAAAAUUAGAAAAACAGACAACUACUACUACUACUGCUACUACUACCACUAAUAAUAAUGAUGAGUAUCCUCAGUUGUUUGUUAAAGUUGGUGCAAGUAGCAGUGAAAGUUUAUUAGAAAAUAAAAAAAAAGAAUACAUUCUAGAAAAUGGGAAAAAAGAAUGUGUAUUGGCAGAGGACAUGCAUAAAGAGUUGGUAUUAAAAGAAGAUAUAGAUAAUUUUCAAAAUGACAUUGUAUAUACAGCUAGUUUGCAAAAAAGUAAUAUACUAAAAGAUAAACUACAAAAAAAUGAUGAAAAUAAAACUGACUCACAAGACGAAAUACUUAUAAAUACUACCAAGAACGUUGAUAAAGAAUGUAUCGAAAUUUUAAAAGAAAAAGAAAAUAAAGAAAUAACUAAUGCACUUGAAAUAUGUAGUGAUAAUAAUGAUAAGGAUGAGAAUGAUCCAGAACAACAUGUUAGAAGUACUAGAAAACGUAAAGUAACAUACACUGCUUUUUUUUCAAGUACCACGAGCUCAGAAAGUGUUUAUUACAAGUCCAAAUAUUACCACUUACAAAAACAGAAAAAUAAAAAAAAAAAUUAAAAAAAAAAAUUUGAAAAGGUCAAAAAUGAAGGAAAAGACAGAAACAAAGACAGGAACAAGAACGGGAACAGGUACGGGAACAGGGACAAAGAUAAAAAGAAAAAAGAAAUUAAACAUUAGUGAUAGUGUUCGUGAUGGUAGUAAAAAUGUAGUGGAACAAAUUGAGCAAAUUGAGAUAGGCAAUGAAAAAACAGAAAUAGGUUUUUCAGUAAAAGGGUCAGUCGAGGAAAAAGUAGAUCUUAUUAUGACAAAAGAUGGGGCAAGUAAGACCCAAAAAAAACAUAAAAAUAUAAAUAUACCGUAUAUAGAAAAAAAUAAUAAUAAAGAUAAACUUGGCUUAAAUAAAAGUAUAGGGAAAAAUAAAGAAUAUGUUAGUAACAAUGAAAUGAAUAUAAUCGAAGAAGAUAUGAAUAUGUUUGAUGAUAAAAACAAAGUAGGCGAAAAUCUUGGUAAAAUUAUUGGUACUAAAAAAAAUAAGAACAUAAAAUAUAUAAAUAACAAAGAGAAGGAGAAAGAAAAAGGAAAAGAGAAGAAUAAGGACAUUGUCAGUAAAAAAAAAAGCAGGGAUAAAAGCCAAGACGAAAAAAAUUUAAUUUUUAAGUUAUCGUUAAGUAAUAGUGAUACAGAUUUAUUAUUAAUGCAAAGUAGAAGUAAGAACAAAACAAAAUGUAACUUAUUUUAUAAUGAACAAAAUGUUAAUAACAAUAAUGUUAUUAUCUCAGACAUAGAUAAUAAUAGUACUUCAACAAAUGCAACAUGUUCUUCAAUAGCUUAUAAUAUAAGUGUUGAAAGUACCACAAACAAUAAUGAUUAUAGUAAAGUAAUUAUAGAGAGACAAAACGAGCAUGAAGGUACAACAAUAAAACAAGAACAUAGUAAAAAUAAUAAAAAUUAUUUUGAUAAAAUAAAGCAAGAACCGUUUACAAACGAAAAUAAACAACUAGAUAAAAACUUUUUAGAUACAUGUCAAAUAUAUAUAAAUGAAAAAAUGGUUGAAUGUACACAAAAAUUAGAACGCCAUUUCAAAAUUUGUGUUUUAUAUUUAUUUAAUCAUUAUAUUAUUGGAGGUAUACAUUUAAUUAACCCAUAUAAUAUUUUAGAAAAACAAAGAUACCAUUAUUUUGUUGAAACACACACAAAUAAUAAUUUAAAAAAUAAAAUUAAAAUUUUUAAAUAUACAGAUGAUAUGGUUUUUUUCGAUACAUUGAAAAUAAAAAGUAAAGUUUGUCUGAUGGGUGAACAAAACAGCUACCAUAGUAUGAACCGUCAAUUCGACAUUCUUAGUGGUGAUGAUGUUAAAGACAUUUACAAUACCAACAAUUUAAAGAGCAAGAAUAAUACAAUCGAUAAAAACAAUCACAAUAAAAAUGACAGUCACAAUAACAAUCGUGUUUUACAUAUUAUACAACGAGAAGGAAAAGGAAUAAAUGGGAGCAUAUAUAAAUGUACUGUAAACGAUAAAUUAUUCGCUUGUAAGGUUCAAAAAAAAUUAUAUUUAGCGAAAAAAGAAAUUUAUUUUGCAUAUAUUUUAAAUUUAAGAAAACAGCAAAAAAUAAAAAAAUACUCCAAUGAAAAAUAUAUAAAUUAUAGUAACAAACAAUUAUUGGAAGAUAUAUAUGAAAAAGGAAAUAACUACAUUCUACCAAAAGAAUUACAUUUUAAAGUAUUAAAUGGAAAAAAUAAAAAAAAAAUUAAAAAAAAAAAAUUGAAUAACGAUAAUGUAUAUCGUAAUGAUACAUAUAAUAAUGAUAGAUAUAAUAAUGGUACAUAUUUUAAUGGUAUAUAUCCGAAUAGUAUCGAUUAUGUUAGUGAUAAACAUAAUGGAAAGUUGAACAAAACAAAAUUAAUAAAAAAAAUUAAAGAAGAACAUCCAUGUUAUGAAAACGGUAACUCCAUAUUACUUAUGGAUACAUAUAAAGACGUUCUUACUUUAAAUCAAAUUAUAAAUGUUUUUAUUAAAAAAAAUUAUAAAAAUAUUAACGAAGAAUUUAUUUUAUAUAUUAUAUACCAGCUGAUAAUAGCAGUUUUACAACUCCAUUCGUUAAGUGUAUUGCACGGAGAUAUAAAAAUAGAUAACAUUUUAAUCGUAAAAAAUGAAAAAAAAAUGUAUAAUAAUAUGACAGAAGAGAAAAAAAACUUGUCGGAGGUUAAAUAUAUGACCCAGCAACUGCUUAACAAAAAAAAAAACAACAAUAAUUAUAAUGGCAAUGGUAAUGAUAGAAACAGUGAUAGCAACAGUAGCAACAAUAAUAAUAAAAACAAAAAAAAAAACUCAAUGUUAUAUGAAACAAAAUCACGUGUAAAAAAAUAUAAAGAGUAUCGUAAUUCUUUAAGAGCAUGUAAAAAAAUGGCAUUACAUAACCAAGCGGAUUGUGUGAGUACAAAAGAAAUUAGAAGCUAUUUUUUAAAUAAUAUGUCACUACAUGAUAAUAAUAAUGGUUGUAAUUAUAAUGGUUGUAAUAAUAAUGGUUGUAAUAAUAAUAGUUGUAAUAAUAAUGGUUGUAAUAAUAAUGGUUGUAAUAAUAAUGGUUGUAAUAAUAAUAGCUGUAGUAAUAGUGACAAGAGGUCAAAAAGAAAGCCAUUUUUAAAGAGUGACUUUUUAUUAAACUUAUUUUUAAUUGAUAUAGGACGUGGGAUUGACAUGAAUAAUUAUAAAAAACAUCUUUUUUAUGGAAAUAAACAUUGUGACUGUUAUAAUUUUUUAGACAAUUCAAUUUAUAAUUACCAUAUAGAUUUUAUAGGUAUUGCUCAAGUAGCUAGCUGUUUAUUAUUUUUAAAACAUAUUGGUCAUGUAAAAUAUAAAUAUGAUAAAAAUAUAUUUGAUAAAAAUAAAAUUAAAGUUAACAAUUUAUUUAUAACAUACGCAACACAUAAUGUUCAUUUUGUUAACAGUAACAAUGGUGACAAUGCUAAAGAGUAUAGAAAAAAGAAAACUGCUAUAAAAGAAUAUAAUGCAGUAACAGAUAUGUAUGAUUGUAUGGGUACAUGGACGAACAUACAAACACAAGCUGGUUUGAAACCGGAUUAUCAAAUGCUUUACCAAAUAAAUCAGCGAGUGGAUUCUCAAAUGGGAAAAGUCGUAUACGACAAAAACAGAGAGAAUGGAGAUGAGGACACAAGUGUUGAAGAAAAUGUAAAAAAAAGCACAAACAGAAAUUUAGAAAAAAGCGUACAUACAAAACAUACCAAAAAAAAGUACCAAAAAAUUGACGAAUUCAUUAAAGCCAAAGAAAAUUUAUAUAAGGAGAAAAAAAAAAAUAAUGAUGAACAAAAUUCGUUAUUUAUGCCUAUACGUAAUAAAUACGACGUUUUUAAAAAAAUGAGUACAGUUAUAAUACCAAACGAAAAAAAAAAAAAAAAAAACAGACAAAAUGGACAAAGAAAGAGAUAAUAUGAGCCAUUAUCCAAGUAAUAACAUCCAUUUUGAAAACAUUAUGACACAAAACAAAAAUGUAAUAGCAAACAAAAUAGAUAAAACAACAGAUAAUAACGAUGAUAUAUUUUUAAUAGACUAUUCUAAACUCUUAUUUAUAGAUACGCAAAAUAAAAACAAAACGAAUAAUUAUCUAAAUGAAAUA
ensembl:lncRNA